GGGACUGGACGGAAAGGCUGCUUCCCUUGUUUUUCUUUGGGUGCUAAUCUCAGAUAGCUUUUGCUAGGGGUCUCCACGACGAUAACUAGUAAAUCAGACUUUUCCAGGCCUGUGACUGCUGUGUAGAUGCAUACGAUCCCUGAGGGACUGCUGGACCGCGCCAACUCGGCGCAUGCGCUUGCUAGCGGUUUCAGGCUGAGAGGCAGGUGCGUAGUGAUGUGACGUCUGAAGUAUUGUUUCGCCGAAGACGGAGCGGUGUCAGGGGCUGUACGUUGGCUUCCCCAGAUGUGCUGAGAUCUUCGUGGGACGCGGGACUAGGACUCGUGUGGCUGUAUCGUGUUCCGAAUGAAAUCUGAAAGGGUUUAUCUGUGUUGUAGAAGAUGCUGUCAAGUGCAUUGCCAUGCAACAGAAAAGCCAAGGACAAAGGAUUUCCCAGCAGCCAGCCCCAGAACACCAGUCUUCUGAGAGAAAACAUUACCUUGCUGAAGCCUGGAUUUUGGACUUCUCCUAGCUGCAAAACCCUAUCAGUUCAAGUGCCCUUUCCUCAAGGAGGCUUUUCGGACCCCACAGACAAAGUCAAGUCCUAGGUUAUGAACUCCACAGAAGUAC